AUACGGAGGAUCCGAGCGUUAUCCGGAUUUAUUGGGUUUAAAGGGUGCGUAGGUGGUUUGAUAAGUCAGCGGUGAAAGUUUGCAGCUUAACUGUAAAAAUGCCGUUGAAACUGUCGGACUUGAGUGUAAAUGAGGUAGGCGGAAUGCGUGGUGUAGCGGUGAAAUGCAUAGAUAUCACGCAGAACUCCGAUUGCGAAGGCAGCUUACUAAGCUACAACUGACACUGAAGCACGAAAGCGUGGGGAUCAAGCAGGAUUAGAUACCCUGGUAGUACACGCAGUAAACGAUGAUUACUAGCUGUGUGCGAUACACAGUAAGCGGCACAGCGAAAGCGUUAAGUAAUCCACCUGGGGAGUACGCCGGCAACGGGGAAACUCAAAUGAAUUGACGGGG
rnacentral:rRNA from 1 species